rnacentral:rRNA from 1 species
AUGAGGAAUACCCAUGUGUUGCUUAUGUCCUUGGUCUUACUCCUGCUAGCAUCAGAUGUGGUAGUGGAGGCAUCAAGAUAUUCUAGCAUUAAAGAAUUCGUAUGUGUGGAGAAAAUUUUCCCACCUCGAACAUGUGAUACCAAUGCUUGCGAAGAGUCAUGCUACAAACGUACAAGGCAAUACAAAUCUGGCGUGUGUGUUGCUGAGGGGUGCAAGUGCAAGUUAUGCAUAUAUCAGCCUCCGGCCAUCCAUAAUGAACAAAUGGGUUCUAACUAG